UGGUGAUAACUAUGACUUCUAUUUGUUAAUCUGCAGUCCUCUUCAAGAAAUUUGCUAGUACUAAUUUUCUUCAAAUUAUGAAAAGCUGCAUGUUACAAAAGAGAAUCCAUCUAUUUUCUUAGCGUACAUAAGAAUUUCAGACACAGGUAAGAUACUAAACCAUUCAUGAACAAAAAUGGCAUUUUUUUUCUCAUCAAGAC
rnacentral:lncRNA from 1 species